UGGGGAAUAUUGGACAAUGGGCGCAAGCCUGAUCCAGCCAUGCCGCGUGAGUGAUGAAGGCCUUAGGGUUGUAAAGCUCUUUCGCCGGUGAAGAUAAUGACGGUAACCGGAGAAGAAGCCCCGGCUAACUUCGUGCCAGCAGCCGCGGUAAUACGAGGGGGCUAGCGUUGCUCGGAAUCACUGGGCGUAAAGCGCACGUAGGCGGAUCGUUAAGUCAGGGGUGAAAUCCUGGAGCUCAACUCCAGAACUGCCCUUGAUACUGGCGAUCUCGAGUUCGAGAGAGGUUGGUGGAACUCCGAGUGUAGAGGUGAAAUUCGUAGAUAUUCGGAAGAACACCAGUGGCGAAGGCGGCCAACUGGCUCGAUACUGACGCUGAGGUGCGAAAGCGUGGGGAGCAAAACAGGAUUAGAUACCCUGGUAGUCCACGCCGUAAAACGAUGGAUGCUAGCCGUUGGGGGGUUUACCUCUCAGUGGCGCAGCUAACGCCUUAAGCAUCCCGCCUGGGGAGUACGGUCGCAAGAUUAAAACUCAAAUGAAUUGACGGGGUCAUAGCUGUUUCCU
rnacentral:rRNA from 1 species